rnacentral:rRNA from 1 species
GGACGAACGCUGGCGGUAUGCUUAACACAUGCAAGUCGAACGAGAAGGAAGAGCUUGCUCUUCCUGAAAGUGGCGAACGGGUGAGUAACGCGUGGGUAACUUACCCUUUGGAAAGGAAUAGCCUCGGGAAACUGGGAGUAAUGCCUUAUAAGAUACGUUUGUCGCAUGGCAUUUGUAUUAAACGCUCCGGCGCCAUAGGAUGGACCCGCGUCCCAUUAGCUAGUUGGUGAGAUAACAGCUCACCAAGGCCACGAUGGGUAACCGGUCUGAGAGGGCGAACGGUCACACUGGAACUGAGACACGGUCCAGACUCCUACGGGAGGCAGCAGUGGGGAAUAUUGCGCAAUGGGGGCAACCCUGACGCAGCAAUACCGCGUGAGUGAAGAAGGUUUUCGGAUCGUAAAGCUCUGUUAUUGGGGAAGAAAAAAAGACGGUACCCAAGAAGAAAGUUCCGGCUAACUACGUGCCAGCAGCCGCGGUAAUACGUAGGGAACAAGCGUUGUCCGGAUUUACUGGGCAUAAAGGGCACGCAGGCGGUUUUUUAAGUCAGAUGUGAAAGGCCACAGCUCAACUGUGGACAUGCAUUUGAAACUGAAAGACUUGAGUAUUGGAGAGGCAAGUGGAAUUCCUAGUGUAGCGGUGAAAUGCGUAGAUAUUAGGAGGAACACCGGUGGCGAAGGCGGCUUGCUGGACAAAUACUGACGCUGA